UCUCCGUUGGUGAACCAGCGGAGGGAUCAUUACCGAGUUUACAACUCCCAAACCCCAAUGUGAACGUUACCAAUCCUGUUGCCUCGGCGGGUUAUUUUCUGCCCCGGGCGCGUCGCAGCCCCGGACCAAGGCGCCCGCCGGAGGACCAACUUACAAACUCUUUAUUUUUUUCUUUUGUUCUCCGUACGGGGGAGGCGUCCUCGCGGGCCCCUCUUUCGCAUCGUCGACAAGAGCGUUAAGCUUCUGAGCUUUCUCGGCGCUCCUAGCGGGCGUUCCGAAAAAAACAAAAUGAAUCAAAACUUUCAACAACGGAUCUCUUGGUUCUGGCAUCGAUGAAGAACGCAGCGAAAUGCGAUAAGUAAUGUGAAUUGCAGAAUUCAGUGAAUCAUCGAAUCUUUGAACGCACAUUGCGCCCGCCAGUAUUCUGGCGGGCAUGCCUGUCCGAGCGUCAUUUCAACCCUCGAGCCCCUCCGGGGGGUCGGCGUUGGGGAUCGGCCUUCCUUCCGCCCCGCCCUCGCGGCGGGCGGGAGUUCGCCGGCCCCGAAAUGCAGUGGCGGUCUCGCCGCAGCCUCUCCUGCGCAGUAGUUUGCACACUCGCAACGGGAGCGCGGCGCGUCCACGGCCGUAAAACAACCCAAACUUCUGAAAGGUUGACCUCGGAUCAGGUAGGAAUACCCGCUGAACUUAA
rnacentral:rRNA from 1 species